rnacentral:rRNA from 1 species
AACGAACGCUGGCGGCAUGCCUAACACAUGCAAGUCGAACGAGACCUUCGGGUCUAGUGGCGCACGGGUGCGUAACGCGUGGGAACCUGCCCUUAGGUUCGGAAUAACUCCCCGAAAGGGGUGCUAAUACCGGAUAAUGUCUUCGGACCAAAGAUUUAUCGCCUUUGGGUGGGCCCGCGUUGGAUUAUCUAGUUGGUAGGGUAAAAGCCUACCAAGGCGACGAUCCAUAGCUGGUCUGAGAGGAGGAUCAGCCACACUGGGACUGAGACACGGCCCAGACUCCUACGGGAGGCAGCAGUGGGGAAUAUUGGAGAGUGGGCGAAAGCGUGAUCCAGCAAUGCGGGGUGAGUGAUGAAGGCGUUAGGGUUGUAAAGCUCUUUUACCCGGGAGGAUAAUGACAGUACCGGGAGAAUAAGCGCCGGCUAACUCCGUG